rnacentral:lncRNA from 1 species
CCAGCCAUAGUUAUUCACGCUUGUCCCUCACUGUGAGCACAUUAUUAAAGCUCUUUCUUCAGUCACAUGGGGUAAAAUCAAAACUCGAGGAGUUCUGAUUAGUAAAUUGACCUCCAUCUCCUUGUGUUCUUAGUGAUCAAAACCUAGAUUGUCUCCAAAGCAAGUACUAGUGGCCCGGCCUUAAUCCAGUUGCACCUGCUCAUGCUCUAGAAUUCAGCCCAGCUGGCAUCUCUUCGAGGCACCAUUCUUGGCUCUCUUGGUCAGACUGUUUCUACAACAAAUAGAUUUCUAAAGUGCCUCUACAGAAAAUGUGUUUUCUCUAAAAUGAACACCAAACUGGACACUUAUGAGUGCCCCCAAGGGUCUUGAGGUGAUGGAAUAGUCUGCCUUUCAAAGAGAAUGAUCUUACAAUUUACAAGUUUGCCUCUCAAUUAACUGAGCACUGUGGCUCUUUAUUUAAUGUUAUUUCUACAUAAUCUAAUUUUGGCUGCAGGUUAAUGGACCCAUAGGGAGUUACUGCUAGUUCAGUUUCAAACGAAUUCAGCAGCAUUCCCAGAUUAUUGGUUGUUAAUGGGAUCACCCAGCUGUUUUUACUUCCUCCCCAUCCUUCUCGAGGUGACUACAGAGAAGAGGACAAAAACGGAUGCAGUGGGACUCACUUUUAGAUCACUGGGACUACUGAGCUCUCCCUCUGCCGGCUUCCUGGCCACACUGGGUUCCAGCCCCUAGAAAACCACCUGGUCAUAGCCAGAGCCAGCAUGACCUGCACUAUUAUUCAUCCAAACACAUUGACUGAGCACCUAGUGUGCCCAAGGCACUAUUCUGGUGCAGUUGGAGACACAGAGAUGGAUCAAGCAUGGUGUGAAGGAAGAAUAUAAAUCGGUUGGGUUAAAUCACUAAAAUCACUAAAACUGAGCUGUGGUUUCCUUACAUGCAGCGUUCAUCAUCAAUAUGCCUAUCUUCAAUUGUUUGUUGUUUAUUUAUGUAAUGUUGACUGAGAAUCUGCAUGCACCAGAUAUUUUUCUGAGGAUACCUGGGUGAUUCCAAUCUUGCAGGUUUAUGGUCUCAAAAGGGAUAUAGACAAAUUAAUAAGCAGCAAAUAGUUCAGGGUGAUUGGCCAACAGCAGGGAAGUAUGAGAGACCAUGAGAACACAAAGGAAACAUUCCUCUUCAGGACUAAGAGGUCAGGCAAAUCUUCCUGGAAGAUUUUACAGUUUAUUUCUGAGUUUGCCCUGAAUAUGAACACAGGCCAGCCAGAACACGAAUAGCAGUCUCCCAGAGGUGGGAGAGGAGAAAAAUUUUAGUCAAAAGGAACAACAUGAGCAGAUAUGCAGGAUGAGAAAAAGUAAGUCAUCUUGGGAAAGUAUGAUGGAGAAUAUGUUUUGAGUGGAGUUCAAGUAAGGAUAAUAGUGAAGAGGGAGGGGUCUAGAGAAGAGGAGCAUGUAUGAGACAUAAAGAGUCUUGAAAACCUGGAAAAGGAGAUGGAUUAGACUUCAACUUGUAGACAGCAGAGAGUGGAGGUUCCCAGAGAUGUGUGUGGAGCAAAUGCGGUCUUUCUGCAAAUCACCCAACUGUUCUAUGCAGACUUGACUUGGGCCUGGAAAAAUUAGAGUCUGGGGCAACUGGACCACAGUUGUGGCCAGGACUAUUGAGGAAACAAUAAAGAGGGAGAUAAGAGGGACCAAUUUGAAGGAAAGUUGGCAAUAAGUACCAGCAGAACUUGAUAGACAUGAAAUGAGUUCAUGGAACUGCAAGCAUUAGGCUUUUAGAAAACUACAAAGUAGAAAAGCAAAUGCAGUUCACAUAAGCCCAGAUUUCCACAUUGUAUGAAUUGAUGACACCUAAAUUAAUGAUGUUUUUCUAUAUUGGGAUACUAGAUCAAAGUCAUUUUACUCAAGAUUUUAUAAAUGUAAUAGUAUUUGAAGAAGAAAGAGUUUGGAAGAAUAAUAGCACAAGAUGGCUUUGAUUGUAGGCUUUGGGGUGAAUCAGGGUAUGGUAGGUCAUGGGACCCUUCCCCAGAUGAUGAUAGACAAGGUAAUAAGUGGCUUCCACUUUAAUGAGGGCCAGAGCUUCUUUUUCAAAGGGUUAUUAAAUUAGGCUUCACUGAUGGCAUAUUUAGUUUGCUUUAGAAAGGGAAAAAAUGGUUUCUCAAAGGCAUGGCAACACGAAGUUCGAUGGUCUUUUCCAUGAUACUCCACUCGUGACAUUGCCUCAGAGCUGGAGAUUAGCUACAGGAGGCAGAAUGCCUUAUUAGAUUUUUUAAAGCAUGAAACGUCUUCACUCUGGAACAGGUGAUGUUUCACGUUUUCUGAAAAUCACACCCCAGGUUUUGUGCUCCAAAUGUGUGAGCAGAAGUGGAAGAACACACUGUCUGGAGGCAGGCCAGCAUGGCUGGAAACACCUGCUUUCGCCUAAGCCAGCUGCACAAGUUUGGGGAAAAUAACUUAGUCUCUCUAGUAUGUUGCUUUAUCUGUGAAAUGAGGCUGAGGGUGAUAGCUCACCUUGCAGGGCAACUGUAAAGCUCAGAUCAGAGCAUUCCUUCCUCCCUUCCCUGACACUGAGUUUUGUUUUCUGCACAAGAUGAGGAGGAUAAAUCCUGACUUGCCUGCCUUGCAGGUUGCUGAGAGCUCAAGGGACAAUGAAGGCUUAGAGUAAAAAAUGUGUUUGUGUGAUGUCACAAGACAGAUUGGCA